AUACGGAGGGUGCAAGCGUUGCUCGGAAUCACUGGGCGUAAAGCGUACGCAGGCGGCCUGUUAAGUCGGGUGUGAAAGCCCGGGGCUCAACCCCGGAACUGCAUUCGAAACUGGCAGGCUUGAAUACGGGAGAGGGAAGCGGAAUUCCUGGUGUAGAGGUGAAAUUCGUAGAUAUUCGGAGGAACACCAGAGGCGAAGGCGGCUUACUGGCUCGAUACUGACGCUGAGGCGCGAAAGCGUGGGGAGCAAACAGGAUUAGAAACCCGUGUAGUCC
rnacentral:rRNA from 1 species